GCAAAGUAUAUCAAUAUUUCGUCCCUUCAUUUGUGUUUGAAGAUUCCGGUUUUAUUAUUUUUAAUUCUAAUAAAGGCAACAUACACGUUUAAAUCAAAUUAGGACUGUUAGAUGUGAAAUUAGAUUUGGUGAAUGGUGACUAUGCUUUUUGCAUAAUUUCUAGACCAUAGAAGAAAUACUCUAGGCCAACACAAGGAUCAGACAUGGGUUCCAAAAAGGAAAGAUAAUGGGAAUCCUUUAAUGGCUGCACCAUUUCAUAUUUUUGUUUGUGCUCCAUCGGUUAUAUAUAUGUUUAACUUGAAAUCAUGUGAGGCUAUAUCUCGCAUCGAUUCCUGGUAAGCUUAAAGGACUCGAAUCAAGCCAUUCUAUACGUGUUUGCUGAUAGUUGUGAUGAUAGUGCAAUGGGAAUUUUCUGUAAAAUGUUCUUUUGCCACUGUAACAGGCACUGAUAAACCCGCCUUUGAUUCUUCUCACCAUGAAGCGCUAUUUCAUCUUCACUGUGUGCCAUCUGAGCAAAGCUUUUUAACCAUAGAUGAAGUGUCAGAAAAUUCCAAACAUAAGCAUUAUCUAAAAAAUGAAAUGAAAUAUCUAUAUAUUAUGGAUUAGCAACAAGGAGACCUAUAAUAAUAUUGCAGAAACAAAGCAAAAUUUGUGGGAGACCCAUUUUUCCCCCCCAUAUUAUAUACUAAUAGAUUGUGCAGCUUUUUCAGAAUAUAUAUAUUGUGGUAGCUAAGAUUAAAGCCAUUGAUGUUGGAAAGAUUUUG
rnacentral:lncRNA from 1 species